rnacentral:rRNA from 1 species
GGAAUAUUGGUCAAUGGGCGCAAGCCUGAACCAGCCAUCCCGCGUGAAGGAAGAAGGCGCUAUGCGUCGUAAACUUCUUUUCCGGAGGAAUAAAAUUUUGUACGAGUACAGAACUGAAGGUACUCCGGGAAUAAGCAUCGGCUAACUCCGUGCCAGCAGCCGCGGUAAUACGGAGGAUGCAAGCGUUAUCCGGAUUUAUUGGGUUUAAAGGGUGCGUAGGCGGAUUACUAAGUCAGUGGUGAAAACCUUCAGCUUAACUGGAGACUUGCCAUUGAUACUGUUAGUCUUGAGUAUGGUUAAGGUAGGCGGAAUGUGUAAUGUAGCGGUGAAAUGCUUAGAUAUUACACAGAACACCGAUUGCGAAGGCAGCUUACUGAGCCAUAACUGACGCUGAUGCACGAAAGCGUGGGGAGCGAACAGGAU